rnacentral:rRNA from 1 species
CGGCAGGCUUAACACAUGCAAGUCGAGGGGUAACAUUGUGCUUGCACAGAUGACGACCGGCGCACGGGUGCGUAACGCGUAUAGAACCUACCUUUUACAGAGGAAUAGCCUUUAGAAAUGAAGAUUAAUGCCUCAUAGUAUUGUAGACUGGCAUCAGUUUAUAAUUAAAGAUUUAUCGGUAAAAGAUGGCUAUGCGUCCUAUUAGUUAGUUGGUAAGGUAACGGCUUACCAAGACAGCGAUAGGUAGGGGUCCUGAGAGGGAGAUCCCCCACACUGGUACUGAGACACGGACCAGACUCCUACGGGAGGCAGCAGUGAGGAAUAUUGGACAAUGGAGGAGACUCUGAUCCAGCCAUGCCGCGUGUAGGAAGAAUGCCCUAUGGGUUGUAAACUACUUUUAUACAGGAAGAAACACUGGUAUGUAUACCAGCUUGACGGUACUGUAAGAAUAAGGACCGG